rnacentral:tRNA from 1 species
GUCAGUAGCUCAGCAGGAUAGAGCAACAGCCUUCUAAGCUGUGGGUCGCGAGUUCGAAUCCUGCCUGGGAACGCUA